GAUGAACGCUGGCGGCGUGCCUAACACAUGCAAGUCGAACGAAGCGCCGUGGCCCCCGACUUCUUCGGAACGAGGAGCCUUGCGACUGAGUGGCGGACGGGUGAGUAACGCGUGGGCAACCUGCCUUGCACUGGGGGAUAACAGCCGAGAAAUGGGCUGCUAAUACCGCAUAAGACCGAAGCGCCGCAUGGCGCGGCGGCCAAAGCCCCGGCGGUAGCCAAGAUGGGCCCCGCGUCUGAUUAGGGUAGUUGGCGGGGUAACGGCCCACCAAGCCGACGAUCAGUAGCCGACCUGAGA
rnacentral:rRNA from 1 species